AUUGAACGCUGGCGGCAUGCCUAACACAUGCAAGUCGAACGGUAACAGGUCUUCGGAUGCUGACGAGUGGCGGACGGGUGAGUAAUGCGUAGGAAUCUGUCUUUUAGUGGGGGACAACCCAGGGAAACUUGGGCUAAUACCGCAUGAGCCCUGAGGGGGAAAGCGGGGGAUCUUCGGACCUCGCGCUAAGGGAAGAGCCUACGUCUGAUUAGCUAGUUGGUAGGGUAAAGGCCUACCAAGGCAACGAUCAGUAGCUGGUCUGAGAGGACGACCAGCCACACUGGGACUGAGACACGGCCCAGACUCCUACGGGAGGCAGCAGUGGGGAAUUUUUCGCAAUGGGGGCAACCCUGACGAAGCAAUGCCGCGUGGAUGAAGAAGGCCUUCGGGUUGUAAAGUCCUUUCGUGGGGGACGAAAAGGCGGGUCCUAAUACGAUCUGCUGUUGACGUGAACCCAAGAAGAAGCACCGGCUAACUCCGUGCCAGCAGCCGCGGUAAUACGGGGGGUGCAAGC
rnacentral:rRNA from 1 species